UACAGAGGGUGCGAGCGUUGUCCGGAAUCACUGGGCGUAAAGGGCGCGUAGGUGGCGACCCAAGUCUGUGGUGAAAGCUCGACGCUCAACGUCGAGUCGGCCAUAGAUACUGGGUUGCUUGAGCACUGUAGAGGCAGAUGGAAUUCCGGGUGUAGCGGUGGAAUGCGUAGAGAUCCGGAAGAACACCGGUGGCGGAGGCGGGUCUCUGGGCAACAACUGACGCUGAGGAGCGAAAGCGUGGGGAGCGAACAGG
rnacentral:rRNA from 1 species